ACGUAGAGCGACUCCAGGUUGUUUCGUGAGAGACAACAAGCAUUCACCAUGCCUCAACCGUGCUGUGGAACUGAUCCGGCUUGCAAGUGCGCGCCGGGCUGCAAGUGCGACACUUGCUCCUGUGCCUGCGACAAGAAGUGAAGGAGACGUCAUUAUCUCUGGGUUAUCGUACAUGGAUUAUCACGUUUCCUUACCAGCUGACAACAUUACAAAGUACUCAAGAUAUGAAGAUUGAAAGAUGGUGAAUUGUACAAUUUAACUCUACACUUAAAUUAAUAAAUUUAUUGUAACACAUGA